AGGGAUGACACGAAUGUUUUUAUUAAAGGCAAAAUGGAUUUCAACUCGAGUAAAGAUAACAGAUAAAAGAUCUAAAUAAGUCAAAUGCGGAUCCAACUUAAUAUGGUGGAAUGGUGGUGCUAUGCAAGUCUGAUUUAUUUUUAAUCACUGUAUUUACCUACCUAUAGUAAAAAAACCACUUAAGAGAUGUACAAAGGCUGGUGAUGAAGUGGUUUUGCUUGGUGAUUUAGGAUAUGCUCCAUGCGCCUGCCUAAUGACACCAG